AGCCCACUUAAAGUCAACUUCCGCUGCCUAGCUGAACUGAGAAGUAAAGUCAAGUUUUGACCCGACCAAUAAAAUAAUUACAAGUUUACCAUAUUUUCAUAUAAUCAGUGUCAGUUGAAAUGGCUAGUGAUAAAGAGACAUCACCCAGCAGAUCAAGGCAAAUGGAUGACAGAAAGAAGCAUAGAAAAUUAAGUUCUCGUGAUCAGAGUCCUCGUCACAAAGGAAAGCGUAGAAGCUCAAGCAGCUCUCACAGAAGUCCAUUGUCAUCUAGAUCUGCAAGUCCUUCAGAAAAACAUAGGAUGAAAAAGAAUGAGAAGACUAGCAGAGGGCGAGAUGAUAGAUCAAGGAGCCGCACUCCUACUGCAUAUCGCAAAGAUGGUGGCGAUAGCAGAGAUGACCCUAAUGUUUGCCACUGUCUUGGAGUUUUUGGACUCAGCAGCUAUACACAAGAAAAGGAUCUGAGAGAAGUGUUUGGAAAAUAUGGACCUAUUGAUGACAUUUGUAUUAUUUAUGAUCGUCAAAGUGGACAUUCUAAAGGAUAUGGAUUUGUUUACUUCAAAUCAACAUCUGAUGCUGUUGAGGCACGCCGAGAGACUCAAGGAUUAGUCCUGGAUCGACGACCUAUUAGAGUUGAUUAUUCAUUCACAACCCGGCCACAUUCACCAACUCCUGGCAGAUACAUGGGUAGAAGGGAUCUGGACAAAUAUUACAGCCAUGAUAAUGGUGACUAUGAAGAUCGUCCAAGCUACCGUGACAGUGGUCGCAGAGGGAGUUAUCGCGACAGGCAGCACUAUUGUGACUAUGACAGAGAUGAAUACCGUGAUGAGUAUGAGGAAAGCUACUCAUCCAGGCGAUCAUCCAGACGAUAUUCUCCAUAUUCACGUAAGUAAAGGUGAAUGCUCAUAUGAAGUCUUAGAUGUUGAACAUUGAAGAUGAUACAUUUGAAAUGAAGAAAGAACUAACAAGUAUAAAUGAAAAUACUUGAAGUCUUGACAAGUCACAACAAAUGUAAAGAGAAUUUUAGCAAUGUUCAUCUCUGAAAAAUGAAUUUAUAACAGAAAAUGAAUGAAGAAAGAAUUAUAGAAGCACAAAUGGAAAUGAGAAGAGGAAUGAAUAUAAAGAAAAAUUAGCAUAGUUACUGGUAUGUGAUGAAGUGUUGGCUUUCUUCAUCUGAAAUGAGAAAAAGCUCAGGUUACAAAAUAUCAAUUUUCCUAAAGAAUAACCUGAAGUGGAAGUAGUGAAAUAUCAGUAUUUGAGCUGAACAUUUGGUGCAAAAUAGUUCUUCAGCUGGUUUCUUCGCUAAAUUUGAAAGCUCUAAUUGCUCUUUGUAAUGUUACAUCUCAAAUGUUCUUUUAAACCUCCAGAAGUUAUUUAGGUGGAUGGUACAAUGGUAUGCAAAAAAACGUUUCAUUAGGUGAAGAUAAGAAAUCUACAAAGAAGAGGAAGUUGACAAACGUUUUGGAAAUCUGUUAAUUCACUAAUUCAAGUGAUGCAGUCCUUUAUAAUGAACUCAGCAUAGUAAUGGAAGUCAUUUUGGUAACAAUAUUUGGAAGAUACUGGCAAAAGACAAGAACUGAGUUUUGUUCAUGUCAAUUUUUUUUCUCACUUGUGGUUAACUUUCUACAUAGUAUAGUAUUUUGUUUGACAUACUGCAGACAAUGGAUACAAUAGAAUGAUAAACAUAUUUGAAAAAUAAGUAUUUCCAGUGAUGUUUUAUUUUUUUAAAUGUUUUAUUUUUUAAGCAUUUUAAAUAUUUAAGUAUAAAAAAUUAGAUGAGGGGUUAGUUUUUUUUAAUAACUGGAGUGACCUUUUAUCGUAAACCGCUUAUAUCUAUUUAGGUUAAGCUAUUUAGACUCAAGCAUAAACUCUAAUUCGAUUUUCUUGUCUAUUUUUUUUUCAAUUUAUUUUCUCAACUUUAUAUAUAUAUAUUUUUAGUAUCUUUGAAAAACGCAUGGGCUGUUGACUUGGCAGUAUAUGAAAUAUAAAAAUGUUUUAAUGACUGUAAAGGGUUAAAUAAAUAAUUUUUUCAUGAUUAUUGUCUAUCUUUAUGUAUAGGACUUAACUAGCACUCAGAUCUUUAUUUUCCUGCAUAUUUUGUCACAUGUUGUUGGUUAAUAUUAAUAAUUCAGAUUAGACUAUUUAAAAUAAGACUUUAGAAUUUUUUUUAUUGGUAAUUACAUAUUGUGCAGUAAAAUAAUUUCUCGUAUUUAUAUUACUUAAAUUAUUUUUGAAUUAGUAGGAUUUUAAGGUUAAUCUUCAGGUAGGUUUCAACACUUAAAAGCUUUUUCUGUGUAUCGAUGUCUCUAUGGUUCAACCAGAUUAUAAAAACGUUUAUAUUUAACUUUGGUAACAGUAAUUAUAUUAUGUGUAAAUGCAGUGUCAGUUUGGAUUCACUUAAAUAAAUUUAAAUUUCAAUGAUU